rnacentral:misc_RNA from 1 species
GGGAUAGUUAUUGAAAGUUACCCUAAUAUUAGCCUUUGGUAAUUGAAUGUUUGGCACCUGACACUAAUGUUAUUGAACGUAACAAUGGAUGCUGAUAUAAUGUCUUCACCCUAUAGCAUAGGGCCUAUAGGCAGAGGCUAACUCUCCUUUGUUUGAGGUCUACAAUCAUGUAUUAUUUCAUUACAUGCAGGCAAACCUAAUUUUACCAUGGAUAUCUUCUUUCUUU